CCGAGUUAGUGCCCUCCCCUCUCCUUCCUCCUGCCGGUUAGGGCAGCCCAGCAGCAGAGAGGAGGGAACAGGUGUUCCCCAUCAGCCACAAUCAGCAGCUCAGUGGGUGAAACGGAUGAGCCUCCUCCAGCUCACUAUAAAACCAGACACGACCCAGCUCUCGGUGUGGGAGCGUAAAAUGAAAAUGGAAUAAGGAGACAAAAGAGAAAGAAGAGGAAGGAACGACGUAUUGCUGCUGGACCCACCCGUUCCUGCCGAUUGUGCCGCCAGCACUGGACCCUGGACCCUCCGAGCGAGGAGACACUCACCCGAGCCGAUUCCCCCCUUUUUGGCAUCUUUCCCCACUCACCUGUUGCUGCUCCAAACCUUGGCUGCCAUCGUUGUGAGCGAGUUCGGAGCAUCCCCAGAGUACUUUAGGUUCCAGGAGACGGUUCCAUGAAAGAACCCAGUCAGUGAUCAGAACAGCUGAUAUGUGUCCGUCUCUGUUUGUGGUCCCAUCACUCAUGAAAAGCUCAAAGGCUCCAGAUAGGGGCAGUACUCUCCCCCUCCCUUCCUGACAUGAAUCAGCAGGUGCAGAUGGGGCAGGAGGCAGCAGGUGGCAGUGGUUCAAACAAUCCACUCCUCAGACCAUAAAAGCAGACCUCAGUCUUCACUCCAUGCUGGACUGUGAACAAAGCAACAGUUAGUUCUGCUCCUGGUUCAGUUCAGCUCCUGGUGUUUUUACAUUCAGUAGUGAUGGCAGGUGAACCUCAUGAAGCAUUGAGGCUUUCCAUACAAUGUGCUGAAAAAGAUUCAAAGCUUCAAGGCUUCAGUGACAUCUGGUGGACAACUGUAGCCAUAGCAACCUCGCAAGAGCACGACUGAAGCACUGACACUGUUUCAAUCCCAUGUCAGCAAUAAA